UUAAAAUUACGCACUCCUAUUAGUUGAGUGGUGUGAACUUGACGCGAGAUUUGGAGGAUUCUAACCGCGCCCGCAGUCAUAACCUUUCACGUCACUCUGUCCAUGUUAACUAUAAUGUCAUGUUGUGGAUAAUAAUAUAUAAACCCUACCUAGCUGACUGUGAGGUAACUCCAGCUGGAGGCAGCAGAGACCGUGGGUUUUGGGGCUAUAGUAAUCCGAAUGAAGGGUAUAGUAACCCAACGAAGAAGAAGACUUCCACCGAAUGGGCUCUAAUUAGGAAGACAGGGAGGCUGGAAUGGGAAAACGCGACAAACAAACGACUAUUCAUCAGAAACUGGUCAAAGUUAUUGUGUCUGAGGUCAAUGCACUGCAGGAUGGAUAGAAACGUGUGACAACGCGGUGCAGGAUGGGUAGUAACCGGAAUUCAUCUGUUAUAAAACGGUGUGAGAAAUAUCCGCAAACGAGUCUACCACUGAACAUCGUCUUUAUUUAAGUGGAUGGCGGUACCCUGGCCCUGGGUAUAGGUUUGACUGGCUUAGUACUGUGUAGAUGGGCGUUCCGGUCGACUGAUAGUAGGCAUAGUAAACCAUUUCGUGGUAAAGCCAUUAGUUGUAUCACUGGUGUUAGUUAAACUCAGUUUCUCUUCGCAUUUUUUUUUUUUGUCGUUUUCUAUCAAUUUUUGAAUAUGUACUUUUUUCUUCUUUGAAAACUAAACAAAGCACGUCUCAAAUUUA